AGAGUUUGAUCCUGGCUCAGAAUCAACGCUGGCGGCGUGCCUAACACAUGCAAGUCGAACGAGAAAGUCGUCUUCGGAUGACGAGUAAAGUGGCAAACGGGUGAGUAACGCGUGGGACAUCUACCCUGAUGCGGGGAAUAACUCUCCGAAAGGAGAGCUAAUACCGCAUAUUCCGGUUUACCGGGAAAGGCCUUCGGGUCGCAUCAGGAGGAGCCCGCGUCCGAUUAGCUAGUUGGUGAGGUAAUGGCUCACCAAGGCGACGAUCGGUAGCCGGUCUGAGAGGACGGACGGCCACACUGGGACUGAGACACGGCCCAGACUCCUACGGGAGGCAGCAGUGGGGAAUUUUGGGCAAUGGGCGAAAGCCUGACCCAGCAACGCCGCGUGGAGGAAGAAGGUUUUCGGAUCGUAAACUCCUGUCCCAUGAGACGAAAAAAAUGACGGUAUCAUGGGAGGAAGCCCCGGCUAACUCCGUGCCAGCAGCCGCGGUAAUACGGGGGGGGCAAGCGUUGUUCGGAAUUACUGGGCGUAAAGGGCGCGUAGGCGGCUUCGGAAGUCAAGGGUGAAAGCCCCGAGCUCAACUCGGGAACUGCCUUUGAAACCACGGAGCUAGAGUGUUGGAGAGGAAAGCGGAAUUUCCAGUGUAGCGGUGAAAUGCGUAGAUAUUGGAAGGAACAUCUGAGGCGAAGGCGGCUUUCUGGACACACACUGACGCUGAGGCGCGAAAGCUAGGGGAGCGAACGGGAUUAGAUACCCCGGUAGUCCUAGCUGUAAACGAUGAACACUUGGUGUGGGGGGUAUAAAGUCCCUCCGUGCCGUAGAUAACUCGAUAAGUGUUCCGCCUGGGGAGUACGGCCGCAAGGCUGAAACUCAAAGGAAUUGACGGGGGCCCGCACAAGCGGUGGAGCAUGUGGUUUAAUUCGACGCAACGCGAAGAACCUUACCGGGGUUUGAACUGUACCUGCGACAUCCAGAGAUGGAUGGUUUCCUUAGGGAACUGGUAUAGAGGUGCUGCAUGGCUGUCGUCAGCUCGUGUCGUGAGAUGUUGGGUUAAGUCCCGCAACGAGCGCAACCCUUGUCUGUAGUUGCCAUCAGGUUAAGCUGGGCACUCUACGGAGACUGUCGGCGAUAAGCCGGAGGAAGGUGGGGAUGACGUCAAGUCCUCAUGGCCUUUAUGUCCCGGGCUACACACGUGCUACAAUGGAUGGAACAGAGGGCUGCAAGCCUGCGAAGGCAAGCGAAUCCCAAAAAUCCAUUCUCAGUUCGGAUUGCAGUCUGCAACUCGACUGCAUGAAGUUGGAAUCGCUAGUAAUCGCGGAUCAGAACGCCGCGGUGAAUACGUUCCCGGGCCUUGUACACACCGCCCGUCACAUCAACCGAGUUGAGUGCACCCGAAGUCGC
rnacentral:rRNA from 1 species